GACGUAGGGCGCAAGCGUUGUCCGGAAUUAUUGGGCGUAAAGAGCUCGUAGGCGGCUUGUCGCGUCGACUGUGAAAACCCGUGGCUCAACCAUGUGGUCUGCAGUCGAUACGGGCAGGCUAGAAUUCGGUAGGGGAGACUGGAAUUCCUGGUGUAGCGGUGGAAUGCGCAGAUAUCAGGAGGAACACCGGUGGCGAAGGCGGGUCUCUGGGCAGUAACUGACGCUGAGGAGCGAAAGCGUGGGGAGCGAACAGG
rnacentral:rRNA from 1 species